UUUUUUGAAUGAUAUGUAUGAUGUGUAUUUAAUGCUUGUGGAUGCAAAAAAAUUAUUUUUUUAUGUUUUUGUUUUUAUUUUCAGGGAACCAUUUAUAAAGAUUAUUGUUAGUAAGGAUUCCCUCUUUCCCAAGUCUGGCCACCUUAGCUCUCAGCUCCUCUACCUCCUCAAGUGAGACAAGCACCCUUUCUGGUGUAGCAAGCCUAGGAGGGAUCUAUAUUGAAAAAG
rnacentral:lncRNA from 1 species